GACGAACGCUGGCGGCGUGCUUAACACAUGCAAGUCGAACGGUAAGGCCCUUCGGGGUACACGAGUGGCGAACGGGUGAGUAACACGUGGGUGAUCUGCCCUGCACUUCGGGAUAAGCCUGGGAAACUGGGUCUAAUACCGGAUAGGACCACUGCCUGCAUGGGUGGUGGUGGAAAGCUUUUGCGGUGUGGGAUGGGCCCGCGGCCUAUCAGCUGGUUGGUGGGGUGAUGGCCUACCAAGGCGACGACGGGUAGCCGGCCUGAGAGGGUGACCGGCCACACUGGGAAUGAGAUACGGCCCAGGCUCCUCCGGGAGGCAGCAGUGGGGAAUAUUGCACAAUGGGCGCAAGCCUGAUGCAGCGACGCCGCGUGAGGGAUGACGGCCUUCGGGUUGUAAACCUCUUUCAGCACCGACGAAGCGCAAGUGACGGUAGGUGCAGAAGAAGGACCGGCCAACUACGUGCCAGCCGCCGCAGUAA
rnacentral:rRNA from 1 species